UACGUAGGGUGCAAGCAUUAAUCGGAUUUAUUGGGCGUAAAGGGCGCGUAGGCGGGCAAGUCAGUCAGAUGUGAAAUCCCGGAGCUCAACUCCGGAACAGCAUUUGAAACUUCUUUUCUAGAGGGUAGGCGGAGAAAACGGAAUUCCACAAGUAGCGGUGAAAUGCGUAGAUAUGUGGAAGAACACCAGUGGCGAAGGCGGUUUUCUAGCUUACACCUGACGCUGAGGCGCGAAAGCAAGGGGAGCAAACAGG
rnacentral:rRNA from 1 species